AUGCCCAUGCACCUGUGGUCUGUCGACGGUGCGGCGGAGGUGCUCGGCGACAAAUGCAUCAUCGACCGGCUCGACAGCCGCACGCACGAGCGUGGCCACACGCGGACCUUCGCGUGCUGGGUGUGGGUGUACGACGUCGCCUUCAUCCCCACCAAGCACACCAUCUGGCGCGCGGCUCAUGGUGCCGGCCGCGUCGAGGCCAUGCUGGGCUAUUCGCCGCCCAGCCGUGAGGUCCCUCCUCCAUCCCGUGUCCGGCGCAACGUCAUGCUCCUCCACGUCGACCGGGUUGAAGACUGG
rnacentral:rRNA from 1 species